CUGAGCUAUUCUGCUUACGUUCUAUGACACGGCUUACUUGGAAGUGUGGGCCUUAGUUUUGCGCCAAGCUACGUGAACUGAAGUGCUGCUGUUUUGCCUUGCUGUGCUUUUAUCGUCUGUUCCCGUUGUGAGAUUUCUUUCCCCGCUGCUGUCAGCUUUUACAGUGGACGUCGGCGUGGACAACGGCCAUAUGCAUGCCGGUUAUCGGAGUCAGCUGGCGUGCAUAUUGAUUGACUGUUAACUUGUCGUCGUGUGACGGCAAGUUGGAGCAGUACGGCGAUUCCGUUUGCUCCAGAUUUUAGAGUUUUAUCCAGAUUAUGCGGAGUGCCGACGUGGAGGAGACUAGGGUGCCUUGGUGGUGGGAUCCCUUGAGUGUACACACCUGCCUUGUUUAGUUUAUUAGUGUGAGUGUGUGAUAGUGUGUUGCACUUGUGUUUUGGGUGUGUUUUCUUUCUUUAGUUUGUGUGUGGCAUCCCUGCCCCUCCACUGGUAAGCCUCAGCUCUGAAUACCUUUUUAAGCAUAUUUGUACUUGAAUAUUUAUGAUUGUGCUUUUAUAUGGUGUUUUAAAUAAUUAUUAAUAAAUUGUGAAUUUGUUGAUCAUUGAACCUCGUCUCUGGAUUGAGUAUAGCGAACCUAAGUGCCUUUCUGGUGAUUUAGUGUUACUUUCAGUAUUCUCUGGGUGAAAUUCCCAGGGUGGCGUUGUCUUUUUAAAACUGCAA
ensembl:lncRNA